GACUAAGUUAGGAGCCGCAGUCAGCUGGAGCUUAAUGGCUGUGAUGUUGGAUUAAAAACUAAAAAGGUAAAUGUCUUCUUUAGUGGAGAGAGAAUUGGAGGUAGUGGUUGAUAAGCCGGUGAGCGUAUCAGUCGAUAAGUUAUCACAAGAAACAUCAAUAAUUGAAAGCUUUUAUGCACAAAAAGUGUUUUCCAUUCGAUUGCAUUACAAUCAAUCCUUAUGAAAAGCUUUCCAACAUCAUCAGUGAUAGUAAUUCCUAGUAUUUUACUGAAAAUCUUGAUUAUGAUGAAAUUAUUCAUUUUUUUAGCAACUCUUGGAACAUAUUACCUCAGCUGUCUAUCUUUCCACCUUACGCUACAACACUUCUUCCACUAGAUCCUGACCAGGAGGAUGAUUAUAACAAUGAGUAGAUCUGUUCAUUCAUGAAAGCCCAUGAUUUAUUUUGAUUUUUUGCAUUUUGGGGAGAUUUUGAUGGCUAUCUCCUAAUUUUUGGUUUCUUUAUGUUUAAUUUUACUGAUUGUCAGUUUAACAUACGAUUACUUGCAAUUGGUCUUGGGGAUCACAUGCACAGGGUUUGAUUUUACAUAGAACAUUCGGCUCAAUCAGAGCCGUCCAGCACCGGCAUGCCCUAGAAGAUUGAGGAUUUCAAUCACACAUCUUCCCCUUGGCUCCAACAAGCUGCAGCAGGCAUCUAUUUGAACUAAGGUGGUUUGCAAUGCUUUGGAUAUCAAACUCUGACAAGUUAAGCAAAGUGCUUGGGUGUUUCAGGGGUUGUCGAAUGAGAUAAAAUGCUCUCAAUCUCCAUAAUACUUGCUCUAAGUGUCGGAAGAGUGUCGGCAAGCUCAAUUUCAUAGAGGACAACCUACUUAAGGAUAUCUGAUUUGUGAUUAUUCCAUUUGCAUAGAACUAGUAAGCUUUAGCUAUCUGUCCCACUACAUAGAUAAGGUGGCUAGGAGCUCUUGGCAUAUGUAGGAGUUUGUGAAGGGAAAUAGGCAUAGCAUUUGUCAAAUUUUACUUUUCCU